UACGUAGGCAGCAAGCGUUGUUCGGAAUUAUUGGGCGUAAAGGGUGCGUAGGCGGCGCGGUAUGUCUCUUGUGAAAUCUCCAGGCUCAACUUGGAGUCUGCAAGGGAAACUGCCGUGCUUGAGUACUGGAGAGGUGAGUGGAAUUCCCGGUGUAGCGGUGAAAUGCGUAGAUAUCUGGAGGAACACCGGUGGCGAAGGCGGCGAUCUGGCCCAACAUUGACACUGAGACUCGAAAGUGCGGGGAUCAAACAGG
rnacentral:rRNA from 1 species